rfam:Ovis aries breed Texel chromosome 12, whole genome shotgun sequence.
UCCUUGGUGGCUUAGAUGGCAAAGCACCUGCCUGCAAUGAAGGAAACCUGGGUUUGACUCCUGGGUUAGGAA